UCCUCCUCUCUUCUUUAACUUUGAAAUCUUCUAACCCUAAAUUCUACAGCCACCAAUCAAAUUUUCUUGCUUUCAUUUCCUAUCCUCGUAGAUUAUUUUUUCCAUCGACGAUUUGAAGAUUUACUAUGGCCGGUAAAGGAGAAGGUCCGGCGAUCGGAAUCGAUCUUGGAACCAAGUACUCUUGCGGAAUGGAAAUGGCCGAAAUGGAAAUGGAAAUGGAGGAAUGCUCCUUUGUUGUCUCUUCAGACCCUCACAGAAACCAAGCAAGAGAUUCUCAAGGGUGUUAAUCUUGUUGUUUACGAAGGAGAGUAGGUUCACGCCAUCAUGGGAAAGAAUGGUUCUGGAAAAUGCACAUUUGCAAAGAUAAUUGAAGUCAUAUCGGGUUGAAAGCUAAGCGAUUGUGCAGAGAUUGCCAAGCGACCGUUGAAAAUUGAAGAUUGAGAAGGCAUUUAAGAUUUUUAAUUAUUUAAUUCUUGUAUUAGAAUAUUUUUUCAUGUACUAUUGUAGAAUGUAUAUACAUAAUAUUAAGAUUUUAUUUUGUGUAUAAAAGACAAAUAUUAUAGUUUCUAACAUAAUAUGAAUUUCAUUGA